rnacentral:rRNA from 1 species
CGUCCGGCGACCGGCGCACGGUGAGUAACACGUAUGCAACCUGCCCUCUUCAGGGGGACAACCUUCCGAAAGGGAGGCUAAUCCCGCGUAUAUCGGUUUCGGGCAUCCGAGAUCGAGGAAAGAUUCAUCGGAAGAGGAUGGGCAUGCGGCGCAUUAGCUAGACGGCGGGGUAACGGCCCACCGUGGCGACGAUGCGUAGGGGUUCUGAGAGGAAGGUCCCCCACACUGGUACUGAGACACGGACCAGACUCCUACGGGAGGCAGCAG